rnacentral:tRNA from 1 species
GACUUUAUAGCUCAGUUGGUUAAAGUGCCUGUUUUUUAAAGAAAAUUCUGGGUUUAGCUCCUAGUAGGGUCU